CUUGGUGGUACAAGCGAGGCGGAACCACCCGUUCCCAUCCCGAACACGGAAGUGAAACGUUUCAGCACCUACGAUACUGCGCUGGCAACGGCGUGGGAAAAUAGGCCACUGCCAGGG
rnacentral:rRNA from 4 species